AGCUGUGUGCUUCUAGGCCCAUGCUGUGAGGAAAAUCAACUGUUACGCCAUUUUUAGGGGGAAUUUCCCCUGACUGACUUCAUGAUUUGGUCUGAUGGGUGCUUGUCACAUUAAAACGUGAUGUAUACUACAGCCAAGAAUGACAGAGGAACUGCCCAUUGCAAUGCCCUGCAAGUUGACCGGCUCUCUUAGCAUGCCAAAACUCAGCUUGAGGUACAAAGGACUUCCUAUUUCAACAGCACAUCCUGCAUCAGUUUCUGAAAUCCUGUCAAGCCUUAUCAUUGAAGUAAGCUAAGAAUCUCCAGAAGCAUCAGCAGCCACAAUAAAGCCAAAAUUCUGCUCAUUCAGCUUC